rnacentral:rRNA from 1 species
CCUACGGGAGGCAGCAGUGGGGAAUAUUGCACAAUGGGGGAAACCCUGAUGCAGCGACGCCGCGUGAGUGAAGAAGUAAUUCGUUAUGUAAAGCUCUAUCAGCAGGGAAGAAAAUGACGGUACCUGAGUAAGAAGCCCCGGCUAACUACGUGCCAGCCGCCGCGGUAAUACGUAGGGGGCAAGCGUUAUCCGGAUUUACUGGGUGUAACGGGAGCGUAGACGGCAGUGCAAGUCUGGAGUGAAAGGCGGGGGCUCAACCCCCGGACUGCUCUGGAAACUGUACGGCUGGAGUGCAGGAGAGGUAAGUGGAAUUCCUAGUGUAGCGGUGAAAUGCGUAGAUAUUAGGAGGAACACCAGUGGCGAAGGCGGCUUACUGGACUGUAACUGACGUUGAGGCUCGAAAGCGUGGGGAGCAAACAGGAUUAGAUACCCCAGUAGUC